ACCACCCCGCCCUCCCCAACCCCCCUCCACUCGGGGCUGGGGAACCUCCAUUGACGUGCCGGUGACGCCGCCGCGCCGCUGCCGCGGGGGGUUCCAGGCGCCGCACAGCAGCGGGCGGGGACCCCUGUGGUCCCUCUUUUGAGGUACCCGCCUUUGGCGAGGUCAGCAGUCACCCAGCGCGAGUCCUGGUCCUACGAAGAAGACCACGAGCCAGCUCAGCAGGCGGGAUGCAUGCUGGUGCUGGGGACAAGCAGCUUCUUUUCGACUGUUCCUGAAGCGGCGAUGCUACCAUUCGCUCCUGUGGAGGAUCCCUGGGACGAAGAAAUGGAGGUGUUCGGCAGUGGCAGCACGAGCAGUAGCGAGCCACAGAUUGUGUUUACCAUGAAGACUGCGGCGAUGGUUAUUCGAGAGCAUGAACACAAAGAGGUGA